rnacentral:lncRNA from 1 species
AUUUCAUGGAACUGCUUUUAUAAAAGAAGAAAAUUCCGUGUUUUAGGUCAUGAAACAAGUCUGAGAGUGAAGGAAUCGUAGAGUGAACUGACAAAUCCAGUGUCGGAACUGAAUUACUGCAAUGCCGUAGGUGAAUUAAAUCUGAUGCGGAAUCGAAACCUUCUUCUUCAUCUUCAUUUUCAGCAACGGUAGAAAGUCCAGUAGAACCUUUACCCGAUCUUCGACCAAUAGAAGAACUGUGUUUUACAGUCGAAGCCAAUCUUUCGCAUUUGGGCAUCCAAAUAUGUACCGCGAUCCACGUCUGCGAUAGCAACCACAAGAGCCACAUCCAAGCGUAUUGAUUUGAAACAAAAUCUUGAAAAAAGUCACCCUGUGGACAUGUCCAGAAGAGAUAUUUUGGGAAGACUUCAUCAAAGAAACAAUAAUCUUCCAUCCGAAAUCCACAAGAAGCAAUCAGCAACGAUAUAGAAACAGGGAGAUAUUCCAAGCAUUUUCCAACAUCCUAGCUAUGAAAGAACAUCAUCAAAAACUAAAAAUAGGAUACUAUAAGGGCCAUCUGACCAAGCCCCCACACAGAGAACCAGAGAGCUUCAGAAUUUGGUCGUUUAUAUGGUAAAGGAGUAGAUUGAUGGCAUAAGGCAACGAACGUAUAGGCGAUCAGAUAAGUGGAAAAGAUUUUUCGUGUGAAACUGACUCUGAUUUACGUGUUGGACAUGUGAAUAAACCCGGUAAACUCCACGCUGCCUGUCCUGUUACCAGUGUUCAGGCAUCCACUAAGUCACUGGUGGGUCUUUUAUGUAGAAGAACACGAGUCUGAAAAAUCUGUUUUGUUGAUUUCAAUGAUAUAUUUUUAUAGCUUUCCGAGAGAGAUGAGACAUCAUACUUUUGACAGGCCUUAUCUCACUUCUCUCAGGCCAUGAAUGUUUUCAUCGAGAUAAACAAAUCCCUGCAAAAAUUUUAAAGCUUUUAGGUCAUUCUUUCUUUUUCGUAAGAUGUUCUUUACGAUUACUUCCAAUUAACAUUCAAUUUUUAUAACAAAAUUCAUGCAAUUUUUUUUAAUAUAAAUCGUUUAGUACAUAAUAUUUUCUGACAUUCUUCAUAUUAAAUUCAAGAGGCUUUUUUUCCGCUAAAAAAAAAAAAAAAAAGGUUACGUGGUAUUAGUGAUGCAUUAUUGAAACCUGUUUCCUAACUCAUUUAAAUAUUUAUCACAAAAAUAAUUAUCUAAUUAUAUAUUUUCAGUUUUACCGGUUAUUUAACUUAAUUUUUAAUUUAAAUAUUCAAUAUGACCAAAAAAUAAAAAGAACAGAUAUAUUUAAUUCACUUCUAAUAAAGAGGUAUUCAUUGUUUAUAUGUUGUUAGAGGCCCAUAUAGGUAGAAGAUGAUGGAUUUAACACAUAUUCUACUUUUAAUGGUGUAAAGGCAAUGCCUAGAGCAGAUGACAAGUUAAUUAUAAUUCGAAAGAAAUAAGUUUAAUAGCUAUAAAUGGGCGCCAUUUUGUUUCUUUGAGAUAAAAUAUAAUGAUUUAUGAUGCCAUUAAACCUCGAUUAUAAGUAAAAAUCUUGUUUCGAGAGUACUCCAUAUUGCAAACUCGGAAAGAAAAGUUUAACAAGCUCUUUUGUCCUUGAUUACAGACACAGAGAGAUCUCAAAAUUAUUUUUAUGCAAAGUAUUCAUGGAUAUAAAUUAAAUUUUCCUUUGAUAAUAUAUAAAAAUAUUAAUUAUAUAAUUUCAGAAAAGGGUUAGAACACAUGUUUGUGACUGGGUUGACUCAUCUCAUCUCUCUCAUGCCCUGUGAUAUUUAUAUUCACGUGAAACGACCUCAUUUUUUAUAUAUAUACAUCAUGUUUACGUAUAUGUAAGUAUCAGAAAAACUAGAUAGAUGCAACCUAAAUAAUUAAUCAAAGCGUUAAUACAUGAUACAUAUCUUAAUGAGAUAACAAAAGAAUAUAAAUUAAUUAAAUGUAAGAUUGAAUAUACUUAAGAGGAAGAGCCGAACAGAUUGAAUAUUAAAAUGUAUAUAUAUUC